rnacentral:lncRNA from 1 species
UUUGAUUUUCAAGCUUGAUAGACCUCUGACUAAAAAGCUAAGGAAUAUUGAUUAGAUCUUUAAGAUUCAAAAUAAUUCAAAUCUUUGAGUUUAGGUCCCAAGAAUCCAAAGCAGAAUAGAACAUCUAUUUUACCUCAUCAUUUCUCUAUCAACUUUCUUCAUUAUUGCAGCACAUGUACCACCAUCGCCCUCUGGCCUAAGCCAGAACCUGCACAUUUUUAUAGUUCCCCUCUCCUUUCUCUCCUCACCCUCCUCUGGUCCCUAAGACCAGUCUCUUGAAUCUCUCUUCUUCCCUUUGUAUCCAUUGCCCAAUUAAAGCAGUUAGAAUGAUUUUUCUUAAAUUCAUAUUUGAUUUUUCCUUCUCUUGUUUCCAAUUCUUCAGUGACUUUUUUAUUAUCUUCAAAUAAAAUUCAAAUUUAUUGGCAAGUCAGACGAAGUCUUUAAUAACAACUGAUGCCUCCCAGCUACCUGUUGGUCUGUUUUCAUCUCCCGCCGUUCCCGUUCCAAUUAUACUGCAAGAAGCAGAUUCUGCUUUGCUCUAUUUGUAAAAGACAACUGGAUGAGCGAAGAUUACUACUUGCAAUAAGACUAGCAAUUUAUCUGAAAUUAGAGGCAGAGACAAAAUAUCUACUUUUUGCUCAUUCCGACUCAAAAUGGGUGAAGGUUUUCAUCCGCCUCCUGGAGAGACUCAAAAGGACAUGCUGAAAGAUGAACAGAGUGGUUAAUUACAACUAAAUCUCAUGAACCAGUAAAUAUUAAGUGUCUUUCAUCCUCUGUCUCCUUUAUCCCUUGGGGUUCCUCCAGUACCCACUGAGAAUGGGCUGAACUAACAUAAGAUCCCAAAGAAUGGAAGUUCUUCCCUGACUUCAAGAAAGAAUUUGUUAAAAACAUGAUUUCUUGGGCUGGCCCUGUGUUAUAGUAGUUAAGUUACCACACUCUGCUUUGGUGGCCCAGGGUUUGCAGGUUUGAAUCCUGGGUGUGGACCGAGCAGUGCUUGUCAAGACACACUGUGGUGGCAUCCCACAUAAGAUAGAGGAAAAUUGGUAUAGAUGUUAGCUCAGCAACAGUCUUCCUCAAGCAAAAAGAGGAAGAGUGGAAACAGAUGUUAGCUCAUGGCCAAUCUUCCUCACCUAAAAAAAAAAGAUUUCUCUUAUUGUAUGAAAUAUACAAAAUUUAUAUAAACAAACAUUUUGCUAUGGAUUUAAUGCUAAGUUUUAUAGGGCCAUAUAAUUGAUCUCUAUUGUAAUUUAUGUUACAUAAUAUCCUUCUGUCAUUUGUAUUUCCUGAGAGAUUCUGGAAUGUCAUUCUGGCACUUUCCACUGCAAGAUUAGCACUGCUGCUCCUUGAUGGAGAAUACCUCAUUCAUUAGCAGUGGUCUAUAAAUGAAUAGAUGGGCAUUGUGGUUUUUCCCUCAGGGGUACAAAAUUCCUGGAUCUUCAGAGUUAGGACUAGAAAUCUGACAACAUUUGGCAAAAUAUAAUACCACGAAAUUAUGCCUAAAUUAAAACCACUGAGUUAAAUUUAUCUUAAGAAUAAGGGAAGGAAUAUUGCUAAUGUGAUUCCUAUGGAGGACUAAAAAUGGAGCAAGUGGCAUAAAAUAAAGGGUAUAAAUCUUGAUUGAAGAAUUUCUCC